UACGUAGGGUGCAAGCGUUAAUCGGAAUUACUGGGCGUAAAGGGUGCGUAGGCGGUUGUUUAAGUCUGUCGUGAAAUCCCCGGGCUCAACCUGGGAAUGGCGAUGGAUACUGGACAGCUAGAGUGUGUCAGAGGAUGGUGGAAUUCCCGGUGUAGCGGUGAAAUGCGUAGAGAUCGGGAGGAACAUCAGUGGCGAAGGCGGCCAUCUGGGACAACACUGACGCUGAAGCACGAAAGCGUGGGGAGCAAACAGG
rnacentral:rRNA from 1 species